GCCCGGAUGGUCUAGCGGUAUGAUUCUCGCUUAGGGUUCACCCUGAGUUAAAUGCGAGAGGUCCCCGGUUCAAUCCCGGGUUCGGGCC